rnacentral:rRNA from 1 species
UACGAAGGGGGCUAGCGUUGCUCGGAAUCACUGGGCGUAAAGCGCACGUAGGCGGGUCUUUAAGUCAGGGGUGAAAUCCUGGAGCUCAACUCCAGAACUGCCUUUGAUACUGAAGAUCUUGAGUUCGGGAGAGGUGAGUGGAACUGCGAGUGUAGAGGUGAAAUUCGUAGAUAUUCGCAAGAACACCAGUGGCGAAGGCGGCUCACUGGCCCGAUACUGACGCUGAGGCGCGAAAGCGUGGGGAGCAAACAGG